ACGGGAGGCAGCAGUGAGGAAUAUUGGGCAAUGGAGGAAACUCUGACCCAGCCAUGCCGCGUGAGUGAGAAGGUCUUCGGAUUGUAAAGCUCUUUUAUGUGUGAAGAUGAUGACAGUAGCACAAGAAAAAGCACCGGCAAACUUCGUGCCAGCAGCCGCGGUAAUACGAAGGGUGCGAGCGUUGUUCGGAAUUACUGGGCGUAAAGGGUGCGUAGGCGGCUAGGUAAGAUAGCGGUGAAAUGCCGGAGCUUAACUUCGGAAUUGCCGUUAUGACUAUUUAGCUAGAGUGGUAGAGAGGAUAUUGGAAUACCCAGUGUAGAGGUGAAAUUCGUAGAUAUUGGGUAGAACACCAGUGGCGAAGGCGAGUAUCUGGCUAUCAACUGACGCUGAGGCACGAAAGCAUGGGGAUCAAACAGGAUUAGAUACCCUGGUA
rnacentral:rRNA from 2 species